rnacentral:snRNA from 1 species
GUGCUCUCUGGUGGCAUACAUACUAAAAUUGUAAUGGUACAGAGAAGAUCAGCAUGGCCUCUGCACAAGGAUGACAGGCAGAUGUGUGAUGCGUUACUAUUUUUA